GUGAACGCUGGCGGUAGGCCUAACCCAUGCAAGUCGAACGGCAGCACCGUAAGAGCUUGCUCUUACGGGUGGCGAGUGGCGGACGGGUGAGGAAUACAUCGGAAUCUACUUUUUCGUGGGGGAUAACGUAGGGAAACUUACGCUAAUACCGCAUACGACCUACGGGUGAAAGCAGGGGAUCUUCGGACCUUGCGCGAUUGAAUGAGCCGAUGUCGGAUUAGCUAGUUGGCGGGGUAAAGGCCCACCAAGGCGACGAUCCGUAGCUGGUCUGAGAGGAUGAUCAGCCACACUGGAACUGAGACACGGUCCAGACUCCUACGGGAGGCAGCAGUGGGGAAUAUUGGACAAUGGGCGCAAGCCUGAUCCAGCCAUACCGCGUGGGUGAAGAAGGCCUUCGGGUUGUAAAGCCCUUUUGUUGGGAAAGAAAAGCAGCAGGUUAAUACCCCGCUGUUCUGACGGUACCCAAAGAAUAAGCACCGGCUAACUUCGUG
rnacentral:rRNA from 1 species